AAUAAGGCAUGAAUAUUAACUUGUUUUAAUAUUAAUGUUUUCAGGUUGCACCAUUAAUCGUGAAAAGGAAUAAAUGGUCUAAAUCACAUCAACUUAGUAUAUAUGCACGUCUAGAUGUUAUUACAAACAUAAAAAAAAAAACUGAAUAGGGAGCAGAUAGAGAUAUUUAGGAGUUCUCCGUUUGGUAAUUUCCUUGAUCUAAAAAUAACUAAAUUCCAAAGUCAAUUGUUAUUUCAUAUCAUAAGACGACAAUGUACAUUGACCAAGGAAGAUGAACUUUGGUUCAACUUUGAGAGUCAUAUAGCUAAGUUGGAAUUAGGGAAUAUGAAGUCAUAACUGGUUUGAAUUGUGGUCCUUUACUACAAGUGAACAUGGAGAAAGUGAAGGGUAGACUUUUAGGAAAGUAUUUCAAAAAUGAGGAUAUUAUAUCGAGGUCAAGGUUGACAUACAUCUUCAAUGACUCUAAAAAAGUAAAAGAUGAAGAUAGAGUGAAGUUGGCAAAAAUUUAUUUUCUAGAAAACUUUCUACUAGGAAAAAAAUUAACAACAUGGGUAGAUGUUGAGCACAUCAACCAGAAAUUUUGAAAAAGGAGAAUGCUCUAAAGAAUCUGAGGGCAUUAACACUCAGAUUCCUGAGUAUUACCUAACAUUCCAGAAAAUUAUGUUGACAAACAAUGAAGAAUUAAAUAAGAAGCUAGACAAACUCAUUGGGGAGGUUGAAGAGAUCAAAAAUAAAUUGACUAAUAGAAGUAGUUUAAUGACUGAAGAAGAAAAUUGGAAAGAAAUGGAUGAGGAUCGUGAUGGAGGAAACGGUGAAAGAGAUGACAGAUUGGUGAAUGAGGGAGAAGAUGGUAAUACAGAAAAUAUAAAUAUGGAUGAAGAAGGGGAUAGAACUACAAUAGUAAAUAGUGAAAAUGAAGCUGCAAGGGUAUGAUGUUAUGACUAAUAUAUGUAUUGUUAUUAUUUUUUGAAACACGUAUGUAUAUAUUUAGUAUUGUGUAUGUAUUUAGUAUUUUGUAUGUAUUCUUGAUUGACAUGAUGGACAGAACGAGAGCUUAGAUGACAUGGUAUACAACACAGCUCUACUAAAGGAAGUAGAACAAAUAGAAAAAGAAGCACUGAAAAUGAAGACCAAGAAAUUGGAGAAAAGACAUAUUAAUCAAAGAGGAGCUGUGAAAAAUAAAACAGUAAAGGUAAGAGAAAGUGAUAUUUUUGCUUACAAUCAAUAAGUGAGGAGGAGCCUAAGGAGAGGAAAUCAUCCAUAAAAAAUAUUUAAGUCACCGUUCACAACCAAAUUUGGAUCAGCCGAGCC